GACGAACGCUGGCGGCGUGCCUAACACAUGCAAGUCGAGCGGAGCGGCGAACGGGCGAGUAACGCGUGAGUAACUGCCCCCCGCCCUGGGAUAACAGUUGGAAACGGCUGCUAAUACCGGAUAGUGGGGGAUGACUCGCGUCCUAUCAGCUUGUUGGUGGGGUAGUGGCCUACCAAGGCGACGACGGGUAGCCGGCCUGAGAGGGGGACCGGCCACAUUGGGCUGAGAUAGGGCCCAAACUCCUACGGGAGGCAGCAGGGGGGAGUAUUGCACAAUGGGGGAGACCCUGCUGCAGCAACGCGCGUGCGUGAUGACGGCCUUCGGGUUGUAAACCGCUUUCAGCCAUGACGCGGUAGUGGCAGAAGAAGCACCGGCUAACUACGUGCCAGCAGCCGCGGUAAUAC
rnacentral:rRNA from 1 species